GUCCACGCCGUAAACGAUGAAUGCCAGCCGUUGGGGAGCUUGCUCUUCAGUGGCGCAGCUAACGCUUUAAGCAUUCCGCCUGGGGAGUACGGUCGCAAGAUUAAAACUCAAAGGAAUUGACGGGGGCCCCGCACAAGCGGUGGAGCAUGUGGUUUAAUUCGAAGCAACGCGCAGAACCUUACCAGCUUUUGACAUGUCCGGUUUGAUCGGCAGAGAUGCCUUUCUUCAGUUCGGCUGGCCGGAACACAGGUGCUGCAUGGCUGUCGU
rnacentral:rRNA from 1 species